CCCUUAGAUGUUCUGGGCUGCACGCGCGCUACACUGACGCACGCAACAGGUGCCUGCUCCGAGAGGACUGGGUAAUCAUUUGAGUGUGCGUCGUGAUGGGGAUAGAAUAUUGUAAUUAUUACUCUUCAACGAGGAAUUCCUAGUAAGCGCCAGUCAGCAGCUUGCGCUGAUUACGUCCCUGCCCUUUGUACACACCGCCCGUCGCUCCUACCGAUGGGUGAUCCGGUGAAUGAUUCGGACUUCAGCGGCUCCCCUGGGGUGCGCCGGAGAAAGUUUUGUGAACCUUAUCACUUGGAGGAAGGAGAAGUCGUAACU
rnacentral:rRNA from 1 species